rnacentral:rRNA from 1 species
CAGUCGCCGCGGGAAUACGAAGGGUGCAAGCGUUAAUCGGAAUUACUGGGCGUAAAGCGUGCGUAGGCGGUUUGUUAAGUCUGUUGUGAAAUCCCCGGGCUCAACCUGGGAAUGGCAAUGGAUACUGGCAAGCUAGAGUGUGUCAGAGGAUGGUGAAAUUCCCGGUGUAGCGGUGAAAUGCGUAGAGAUCGGGAGGAACAUCAGUGGCGAAGGCGGCCAUCUGGGACAACACUGACGCUGAGGCACGAAAGCGUGGGGAGCAAACAGGAUUAGAUACCCGAGUAGUCCCUGUCUCUUAUAC